rnacentral:rRNA from 1 species
CCUACGGGUGGCAGCAGUGAGGAAUAUUGGUCAAUGGGCGGAAGCCUGAACCAGCCAAGUCGCGUGCGGGAUGACGGCCCUACGGGUCGUAAACCUCUUUUGUCCGGGGAUAACACCCUCCACUGGUGGCGGUCUGAAGGUACCUUACGAAUAAGGGUCGACUAAAUCCGUGCCAGCAGCCGCGGUAAUACGGAAGUCCCGAGCGUUAUCCGGAUUUAUUGGGCUUAAAGGGGGCGUAGGCGGGCGUUAAAGUCAGCGGUAAAAGCUGGCGGCUCAACCGAGACGCGCCGUUGAAACUGGAUGUCUUGAGUUCACAACAGGUAGGCGGAAUUCGGGGUGUAGCGGUGAAAUGCAUAGAUAUCACGAGGAACCCCGAUUGCGAAGGCAGCAUGCCGGGGUGCGACUGACGCUGAGGCUCGAAGGUGUGGGUAUCAAACAGGAUUAGAUACCCGAGUAGUC